rnacentral:tRNA from 1 species
CGGAGGUUAGUUUAAAUAAAACUCUUGAUUUCGGCUCAAACACUUAUGGUUAGACCCCAUAAUCUCCCAA